rnacentral:rRNA from 1 species
AUUGAACGCUGGCGGCAGGCCUAACACAUGCAAGUCGAACGGUAGCACAGAGAGCUUGCUCUCGGGUGACGAGUGGCGGACGGGUGAGUAACGUCUGGGAAACUGCCCGAUGGAGGGGGAUAACUACUGGAAACGGUAGCUAAUACCGCAUAACGUCGCAAGACCAAAGUGGGGGACCUUCGGGCCUCACACCAUCGGAUGUGCCCAGAUGGGAUUAGCUAGUAGGUGGGGUAAUGGCUCACCUAGGCGACGAUCCCUAGCUGGUCUAAGAGGAUGACCAGCCACACUGGAACUGAGACACGGUCCAGACUCCUACGGGAGGCAGCAGUGGGGAAUAUUGCACAAUGGGCGCAAGCCUGAUGCAGCCAUGCCGCGUGUAUGAAGAAGGCCUUCGGGUUGUAAAGUACUUUCAGCGGGGAGGAAGGCGGUGAGGUUAAUAACCUUGCCGAUUGACGUUACCCGCAGAAGAAGCACCGGCUAACUCCGUGCCAGCAGCCGCCGUAA